rnacentral:rRNA from 1 species
UAGGGAAUCUUCCGCAAUGGGCGAAAGCCUGACGGAGCAACGCCGCGUGAGUGAUGAAGGUCUUCGGAUCGUAAAACUCUGUUAUUAGGGAAGAACAAAUGUGUAAGUAACUAUGCACGUCUUGACGGUACCUAAUCAGAAAGCCACGGCUAACUACGUGCCAGCAGCCGCGGUAAUACGUAGGUGGCAAGCGUUAUCCGGAAUUAUUGGGCGUAAAGCGCGCGUAGGCGGUUUUUUAAGUCUGAUGUGAAAGCCCACGGCUCAACCGUGGAGGGUCAUUGGAAACUGGAAAACUGGAGUGCAGAAGAGGGAAAUGGAAUUCCAGGGGGAGCGGUGAAAUGCGCAGAGAUAUGGAGGAACACCAGUGGCGAAGGCGACUUUCUGGUCUGUAACUGACGCUGAUGGGCGAAAGCGUGGGGAUCAAAAAGG